UUAUGCAUGCAAGUCGAGCGAAGCUUUUCAGUAGUUUACUACAGAAAAUGACUGAGCGGCGAACGGGUGAGUAACGCGUGAGCAACCUACCUUAGUUACUGGGAUAGCCCGAGGAAACUCGGAUUAAUACCGGAUAUUCUUAUUUAAUCACAUGAUUUUUUAAGGAAAGGUCAGCCGAACUAAGAUGGGCUCGCGUUCUAUCAGCUAGUUGGUAGGGUAAUGGCCUACCAAGGCUACGACGGAUAGCUGGUCUGAGAGGACGAUCAGCCACACUGGGACUGAGACACGGCCCAGACUCCUACGGGAGGCUGCAGCAGGGAAUAUUGCGCAAUGAGCGAAAGCUUGACGCAGCGACACCGCGUGUGGGAUGACGGAUCUAGGUUUGUAAACCACUUUCAGGAGGGAAGAAAAUGACGGUACCUCCACAAGAAGCCCCGGC
rnacentral:rRNA from 1 species